GAAUGCUGACAUAAGUAACGAUAAAGCGGGUGAAAAGCCCGCUCGCCGGAAGACCAAGGGUUCCUGUCCAACGUUAAUCGGGGCAGGGUGAGUCGACCCCUAAGGCGAGGCCGAAAGGCGUAGUCGAUGGGAAACGGGUUAAUAUUCCCGUACUUGGUGUUACUGCGAAGGGGGGACGGAGAAGGCUAUGUUGGCCGGGCGACGGUUGUCCCGGUUUAAGCGUGUAGGUGUGUGUUCCAGGUAAAUCCGGUUCACUUUAACACUGAGGCGUGAUGACGAGGCACUACGGUGCUGAAGCAACAAAUGCCCUGCUUCCAGGAAAAGCCUCUAAGCAUCAGGUAACAUCAAA
rnacentral:rRNA from 1 species